UACUCCAGAGUACCACGAGACACGUGAAACCUUGUGGGAAGCUGGGAGGACCAUCUCCCAAGGCUAAAUACUACCUAGUGACCGAUAGUGAAGCAGUACCGUGAGGGAAAGGUGAAAAGAACCCCGGAAGGGGAGUGAAAUAGAAUCUGAACCCGUGUGCCUACAAUCGGUCGGAGCACAUUAAAGUGUGACGGCGUACUUUUUGUAGAACGGGCCAGCGAGUUACGGUAUAUAGCAAGGUUAAGCACUUAUGGUGUGGAGCCGAAGGGAAACCGAGUCUGAAUAGGGCAACUAGUUGUAUAUUGUAGACCCGAAACCGGGUGACCUAUCCAUGGCCAGGAUGAAGCGGAAGUAAAAUUCCGUGGAGGUCCGAACCACGUUGGUGUUGAAAAACCAUGGGAUGAGCUGUGGAUAGCGGAGAAAUUCCAAUCGAACUCGGAGAUAGCUGGUUCUCCUCGAAAUAGCUUUAGGGCUAGCGUCGGGUAAUUGAGUAGUGGAGGUAGAGCACUGAAUGGGCUAGGGGCUGACAACAGUUACUGAACCCUAUCAAACUCCG
rnacentral:rRNA from 1 species